rnacentral:lncRNA from 1 species
AUCAGGAAUGAACUGCUGUUUAGGUCCAAGAACUUUACUGACACAAAGCUAAGAGAAAAGAGUUUAUUGACACUGUAUAUUCAAUCCCUAGUAAGGCCCUGUGCCAGGUAUGAGCAGUGGAUACAGAGCAACACACUGCAGUACAGCAGUGCACUGCAAUACACACGUUGGUUAUAAUUACCAUAGCUCAAUACAAUUAAACACACAAACAGAUUCAUUUAGCAUGACAGUUUUGCAUACAAGAUAUUUAAACCCUGUUUUGUGAUUCACUUUCUAGAGUACAGAGAAAACUGCUCAAAAAACUUUUAAGUGUAACUAGCAUACAGUAAUAUACACAGAUAUGAAGGUUACAAUCUGAAAAGGGUUUGCAUGUUGUAAGAGGUGGAAGCACUAACUGGACUCAACAGGUUACAUACGUACAUACUUAAGUACAUACAUACAUUGGCCAAGAAAGGAAAGACUCAUUGAAAACCAGUAGUCUCCUGAGGAUGACAGGGUCACAAAGCCCUGGCUCACACCCACUAAUGCCCCUCCCAUAUCUUCUGGUUGCCUUGAUAUGUGGUAUUUGGCUUCUAUCUGUUUUCACUGGCUUGUGAGACACCACUGUGUACUUAGGACAUAUGCUGCCUCAGGUUCUGAGUGUCUACCCUGGAUAGACACAGUCUCAGGUUCUGAGUGUCUACCCUGGAUUGACACAGUCUCAGGUUCUGAGUGUCUGCCCUGGGUUGACACACACUGUCACAGGUUCUGAGUGUCUGCCCUGGGUUGACACACACUGUCACAGGUUCUGAGUGUCUGCCCUGGGUUGACACACACAGUCUCAGGGUCUGAGUGUCUGCCCUGGGUUGACACACACAGUCUCAGGGUCUGAGUGUCUGCCCUGGGUUGACACAGUGUCUCAGGGUCUGAGUGUCUGCCCUGGGUUGACACACACAGUCACAGGUUCUGAGUGUCUGCCCUGGGUUGACACACACAGUCACAGGUUCUGAGUGUCUGCCCUGGGUUGACACACACAGUCUCAGGUUCUGAGUGUCUGCCCUGGGUUGACACAGUGUCUCAGGUUCUGAGUGUCUGCCCUGGGUUGACACAGUGUCUCAGGUUCUGAGUGUCUGCCCUGGGUUGACACAGUGUCUCAGGUUCUGAGUGUCUGCCCUGGGUUGACACACACACAGUCUCAGGUUCUGAGUGUCUGCCCUGGGUUGACACACACUGUCACAGGUUCUGAGUGUCUGCCCUGGGUUGACACACACUGUCACAGGUUCUGAGUGUCUGCCCUGGGUUUUCUGGGCUUUAAAACACUUUCCUUCAAGUUUUGCCUUUUUGUUUCUGAUUUCAGCCUUUAUAUGAAGGAUGGGGAAGAUUCUCAAUUAUGUUAUUAAACAUGAAGAAAUUUUAAUAUGAUGCCCUUAUGAUUUUAUUCUUUUACAGUCACAUUCUUUAACUGUAUGUAAUUUACCUUCAUAUAUGACUUGAGGCUAAAUCUAACAUCUUUGAAAAUAGCCUAUCCUGACAUCUUAACUCCUUUUACACAGACUUGAAACAAUAUCCGCCUCAUGGUAAGUUUUCAUUCUCCCAGACCCAUGCACAUGCAGCACUAACUGAACACAACAGUUACAUACUCAUAUGUACAUGCAUACAUACAUGACAUGUUUCAAGUUGGGUUGGAUACAAUCAAACUGUAUAGGUAUAUGAAAUUGUCAAUGAAUAAAAGUCAUUCUAAAGUCCUUUUAUAUCCUUUUUCUCCUCACUUCUCACAAGAAUGUCCAAAGGACCAACACUUAGUUACUGGAUACCCUUGUCCACGUAGGAAGCCCACUUGUAGUCAAUGAAGGACAGAACAAUGACAACUUUAUAUACAAGCUCAAGCGUUUAGAACCCAGACGUGACCAGAGAACCUCCGCUGGACACAUGUCAAAAUACAAAGUGAAAAAAUAGUACUAAAUGCUGAAAGACAAAAAACAUGAACUUACAUACAAAGGAGGAAAAUCAGAAAUGAAAAUCAGAAAAUCUUUCCUUCCCUGGGGGACAGGGGGCGUAAAAGGAAAAAAAGAAACUCUGUGCUUUUACUAUAGUGUACAGAAUGGUGGAUGUGUUUGUAGGCCCAGGGUAAAGGAGAGGACCUUGGGUUGGGGAGAAAGGAGCUACAACCAAGUGACCAGAAUAGGCCUUUAUAGCACCUUGAGACCUGCUAAAGUAUUUUCUCUACUCCUGCCACUGAAGUUCAUUAUUUCUUCAUUAAUUGUGCUACUGUCUAUUAUGUUGUGGGCAUACAAAGUAACCUCGGCAAGUCUGUCAGAAAAGCAUGGAAUGAUAGAUCUCAAGCGCAUGAAGUAAGUGACUGACAACUAGCAAGGCUACCCUUUUUUAUACCCAGCUGCUAUACCUGGAAAAGUGGAAUGCCCUGUUAUACCCAGCUACAAUAUCCAGCUAAGUUGAAAAGUUAGUGAAAGGAGUAGGAGGGGCCCUGGCAGCCAUCAUAGCAUUUAGGAAGGAGUGAAAAUGACUCAAAAAUCUCUUCAUACAGCAUGACUAAGCAGAACAGAUUAUGUCUGAGUGGUUCAAGAACCAAUCUUCUGGGGCUGGGGUUUAGCUCAGUGGUAGAGAGCUAGCCUAGCAAGCACAAGGCCCUGGGUUCGGUCCUCAGCUCGAGAGAGAGAGAGAGAGAGAGAGAGAGAGAGAGAGAGAGAGAGAGAGAGAGAGAGAAUAUCUUCUACCUCAGGCCACUGUGGAGGGCACAGAUCAUGGCAUCAGUUCCCAGUGCAAAAUUAUCUCUACUGAAAUUUCCUACUCCUAUAUGACUCCUCUUGUGCACAUCCUACGUUAAAAAAAGCCACACACACGAAUAAGCGGCUUGCUGAUACACCUCAAGAAUUUGGAAACACAAGGACAAAGAGUCUAGAAAAACAAGAACCAAACCAAACCAAAACCCUGUCAAUGGCAAGAAAUAGUAAGAAUAAGAACUGGGAAAUUGACACAGAAACAAAAUACGAAGUAUCAAUGAUUCUAAUAUCUGGUUCUUUAAGAACAGAACCUUGGUCCAACAACAUCACCAGAGAUGACCUAAAUGUAGAGAAAAUCUCUUGUAUGCUCUAUGGAUGCAACUAAAGCUGAUUGGUCUCUGUAGCAGAGGCAGGAAAUAAAAGGUAGACAGACACCCAUGUUCUGCUGUGCUGUUUGACCACCACCACCUGCUGGCUGCUGUGGGACUCAGGACUUCAACCACGUGAGUUGCUGCUACAGCCGGCACACACAGACUUCUACAUGAGCCACAGCCUUCCAUGGUUCACCACGUGGUGCCAGCUCUUGCCAUAUGAGUCACUUAGGACAGGCCCUCACCAACCACAUGGUUUCACUGCUACCAGACCAUCGCUAAAAUUCCUGCACAAACACCAGCAGAUUGGUAGGUUUAUUCCUCCAGUUGGCAAGGACCCCCGACUUCCCAGAUAGGGCCUGGCCAGCCUUUAUGGGAUAAAGGGGCCUCCUAGCGGACAAGACUUUCACCACUGGGCGGAGAUUCCCUCGAAUGCCGUUCCUCAAGCCCCUCCCCCUCAGGGCUCUUGCAGCUGAUUAGAAAUUCCCAGGCCUGGGUAGGGAUGCUUUCUGGUGGGUCUGAGACCUGUCGUGGACUCCAUCAGUCUAAGUAACAACUCAGACACCUGGCCUGGCAGAGUGCGGUUAUUGAAUCACCCGCUGGGACGCUGAAAUGGAUAAUUUAAUAGCUCCCCCAGUGGGUUAUUUGAUGUCUCUGAAUGUGCCACCAGACUCUCCAUUGGGAUGUUUCCUGGAAAAUUACAAAACUCUAAACUAACGCCUCACCUGAGGACAUCAAGACUGAUACAGUUGCAAUAAUGUCUGGACUCAGUAUUCAUUAGACAAUGGCUCAAAAGAGCCACAUAGUGGCAUGCUAGAUUCCUCAAUUUUACGGGAUCUUCAUACUCACUGCCAGCUGUCUGAUAAAUGGAAAGAUAUCCUUCAUGUUCAAGCAUUUAUCUACCUUUGCUCCACCCCCUCUCUUCUGCUUCUGUGGUAUCCUGCUGAGGUAACUGGUCAGUCCAGCAGGCCUCCCCCAUCGCGACGCCUGACGCCCUGCUUGCAUCUGCCCGCCAAGGAGAGUGCCCUCUUCAAGCACAGGCUGGUGAACCGUGGCCCAUUGGAUCUCUGUGAGCUUUCUUUACCUCUGAGCUUGACUUUCCAUGAUGUACAUAUGAAACAUUGACUUCCUGAGGAACGCCUGAGAGUUUGGGAGCAGGUGAGAAUACAUGCAGACGAGAUCCAUCAGAUGGCACAUACCCUAUUGGAUCUGUACCUGACCAAGAUCCCCGAUGGAAUUAUAAUUCCACAGGUGGUAUUUCAGCCAAAGAUCGGUUCAUAACCUGCCUCCUGGCUGGUCUUCGCAGGGUAGCCUUAAAACCAGUGAAUUCUGAAGAACUACAAGAGGCCAUCUGGGAAAAACAGGAAAACCCAUCCCAAUUUUUAGAACACCUUAAAACAUGGGCCCUGAAAUACACUAAUUUGGACCCUGAAAACCCAUAAGGUAAGCAACUUCUGAUGGCCUACUAUUUCUUGUCCCAGAGUUACCCAAACCUAAAAGACAAACUUAAAAAGCCAGAGGUGGGGGGGGGGGCAACUCCACAGGCAGAAGUUUUGGCGCUGUACCAUGGAAGGGAUGAGAAGGCUCACAGACUAAAGUACCAUAAUAUGCUGUCAAAGGCUGUCCAACCACCCCCAGUUAUUGCCCGAGAGUCCUGCAUCUAAGGCUAAGGGACCACUAGGCUCCUGCUAUAAAUGUGGUCAGCAAGAACCUUGGGCAAGGGCUUGCCCUAACUUCCGCAAGGAAAGGGGCCAUGUCCUAGGGUGCUAUCAAGAGGGACACUUGGCUGUCAAUUGCCCUCAUGUUGCACAUGACAGAGGGUCACCACAUCCAGGUACGCUCUCUAA